rnacentral:rRNA from 1 species
GAUGAACGCUGGCGGCGUGCUUAACACAUGCAAGUCGAACGGAAAGGCUCCUGCUUGCAGGGGUACUCGAGUGGCGAACGGGUGAGUAACACGUGGGUGAUCUGCCCUGCACUUCGGGAUAAGCCUGGGAAACUGGGUCUAAUACCGGAUAGGACGAUGUUUUGGAUGCCAUUGUGGAAAGUUUUUCGGUGUGGGAUGAGCUCGCGGCCUAUCAGCUUGUUGUUGGGGUAAUGGCCUACCAAGGCGGCGACGGGUAGCCGGCCUGAGAGGGUGUCCGGCCACAUUGGGACUGAGAUACGGCCCAGACUCCUACGGGAGGCAGCAGUGGGGAAUAUUGCACAAUGGGCGCAAGCCUGAUGCAGCGACGCCGCGUGGGGGAUGACGGCCUUCGGGUUGUAAACUCCUUUCGCUAGGGACGAAGCGCAAGUGACGGUACCUGGAGAAGAAGCACCGGCUAACUACGUG